GCCAGACUCCUACGGGAGGCAGCAGUGGGGAAUAUUGCACAAUGGGGGAAACCCUGAUGCAGCGACGCCGCGUGAGUGAAGAAGUAUUUCGGUAUGUAAAGCUCUAUCAGCAGGGAAGAAAGAAAUGACGGUACCUGACUAAGAAGCCCCGGCUAACUACGUGCCAGCAGCCGCGGUAAUACGUAGGGGGCAAGCGUUAUCCGGAUUUACUGGGUGUAAAGGGGGCGCAGACGGCAAUGCAAGCCAGGAGUGAAAGCCCGGGGCCCAACCCCGGGACUGCUCUUGGAACUGCAUGGCUGGAGUACAGGAGGGGCAGGCGGAAUUCCUAGUGCAGCGGUGAAAUGCGUAGAUAUUAGGAGGAACACCGGUGGCGAAGGCGGCCUGCUGGACUGUGACUGACGUUGAGGCCCGAAGGCGUGGGGAGCGAACAGGAUUAGAUACCCUUGUA
rnacentral:rRNA from 1 species